rnacentral:rRNA from 1 species
CCGGUUGAUCCUGCCGGACCUGACUGCUAUCGGAUUGGUACUAAGCCAUGCGAGUCAUUGUACAAUACAAGGCGGACGGCUCAGUAACACGUAGUCAACCUAACUCGUGGACGUGGAUAACCUCGGGAAACUGAGAAUAAACCGCGAUAGAUCAUUAUGCCUGGAAUGGCUUAUGGUCCAAAUAGUUUACUGCCAUGGGAUGGGACUGCGGCCUAUCAGCUUGUUGGUGAGGUAAUGGCCCACCAAGGCUAUAACAGGUACGGGCUCUGAGAGGAGAAGCCCGGAGAUGGGUACUGAGACACGGACCCAGGCCCUAUGGGGCGCAGCAGGCGAGAAACCUUAGCAAUGUGCGAAAGCACGACUGGGUCAGUCCGAGUGAUUCCUGAUAAAGGAGUCUUUUGCUUGUCCUAAAAGCACAGGUGAAUAAGGGGUGGGCAAGUCUGGUGUCAGCCGCCGCGGUAAUACCAGCACCUCGAGUGGUCAGGACGUUUAUUGGGCCUAAAGCAUCCGUAGCCGGCUCUGCAAGUCUUCGGUUAAAUCCACCUGCUCAACAGAUGGGCCGCUGGAGAUACUACAGAGCUAGGGAGUGGGAGAGGCAGACGGUAUUCAGUGGGUCGGGGUAAAAUCUCUG